CAGCAGCCACGGUAAAACGAAGGGUGCAAGCGUUAAUCGGAAUUACUGGGCGUAAAGCGUGCGUAGGCGGUUUGUUAAGACAGAUGUGGAAUCCCCGGGCUCAACCUGGGAACUGCAUUUGUGACUGGCAGGCUAGAGUAUGGCAGAGGGGGGUGGAAUUCCGCGUGUAGCAGUGAAAUGCGUAGAUAUGCGGAGGAACACCGAUGGCGAAGGCAGCCCCCUGGGCCAAUACUGACGCUCAUGCACGAAAGCGUGGGGAGCAAACAGGAUUAGAGACCCGCGUAGUCCCUGUCUCUUAUAC
rnacentral:rRNA from 1 species